UACGUAGGGGGCCAGCGUUGUCCGGAAUCAUUGGGCGUAAAGCGCGCGUAGGCGGCCAGAUAAGUCCGGUGUGAAAGUCAAAGGCUCAACCUUUGAAUGCCGCUGGAAACUGUCUGGCUUGAGUCCGGAAGGGGCGAGUGGAAUUCCUGGUGUAGCGGUGAAAUGCGCAGAUAUCAGGAGGAACACCGGUGGCGAAGGCGGGUCUCUGGGCAGUAACUGACGCUGAGGAGCGAAAGCGUGGGGAGCGAACAGG
rnacentral:rRNA from 1 species